rnacentral:rRNA from 1 species
UACGUAGGUGGCAAGCGUUGUCCGGAAUUAUUGGGCGUAAAGCGCGCGCAGGCGGUCCUUUAAGUCUGAUGUGAAAGCCCACGGCUCAACCGUGGAGGGUCAUUGGAAACUGGGGGACUUGAGUGCAGGAGAGAAGAGUGGAAUUCCACGUGUAGCGGUGAAAUGCGUAGAGAUGUGGAGGAACACCAGUGGCGAAGGCGGCUCUCUGGGCCCUACCUGACGCUGAGACGCGAAAGCGUGGGGAGCGAACGGG